ACACGACUCUCGGCAACGGAUAUCUCGGCUCUCGCAUCGAUGAAGAACGUAGCGAAAUGCGAUACCUGGUGUGAAUUGCAGAAUCCCGCGAACCAUCGAGUCUUUGAACGCAAGUUGCGCCCGAGGCCUUUUGGCUAAGGGCACGCCUGCCUGGGCGUCACGC
rnacentral:rRNA from 5 species